AUACAUAACAAAAAAUACAUGGUUAUUGUAGUUAAACUAUGAUAACCAUACACCAACCAUGGUAUUUGUAGUAAAACUGUCGUUAUACAUUUGGCAAUCAAUCUGGCAAAAAAACAUGGUAACUACACUUUUACUAAAAUAUACCAUGGUUAAUUUUCCUAAAGGCUUGUAUACUGGAGACUUCUAAACACAUCUUAAAGACCCUGUAUCUAAACAUCUCUGUGCAUCUCAAUUGUAUGGACGUGUACAAGACCAUAGUCUCUUUUCAUAUUUGCAGUGCCUCCGGGCAGCUCAUCCAAGACAAAGUCCUAUCUAAAUGAAUGGGGCAAUCCUGAAAUUGCAAAACUGCUCGCUGAACUCCCAAUCAAAUUAUAUAUUUUAAAUCCGCAACAAAAUCUGAAGUGACCUGUCUCAUUACUUUGUUGCUUAAGCUCUAAAAACUUGUUUUUUCCCAGUUUAUUUCAGCAGUUGUGCAAUAGAAAAGUCAAUUAUUUCAUGACAUCAGUCUCCAUUACGGCUGUUUCAAUGAGGAUGUGGUUACAACUGGAAGAACAGAGACAGAACUGGAUCAAAGACCAGAGGACGACACUGAAAGGACUCGAUAUGUGAUGUGAUGUGGAUGUUCUUUGCGUUAUGAUUGUCAUGUCAUGCACAAUAUUUAAUAAAACUGCUGAACUUUUUUUUCCUGUUUAUUUUGUUCCUCAAUAACAAUGUAAAUACA